GAAAUUGAGUUAUAAUGAACUUUCAACUCUUCCUCCCAAUCUCUUUGUCCGCAAUAGGAAUCUUCAAUUCCUGAUGUUGAAUUCUAAUAGACUUUCAGUUCUACCUCCCAAUCUCUUUGCCCGCAAUAGCAAUCUUAAAGAGCUAAAUCUGAGGCGAAAUAAUCUACACCUGGAUCAUCGACUAUGCAGCUUAUUGAAUGUCAGAGACUUCAUUGAAAAACUAAGAAGGAAAUACGAAAUAAGCGAACAUCACCCUUAUCACGGACUAGAAGUGGACUGGACA